GCCUGGGUGGCUGUUCAGUUAAGCAUCUGACUUCGGCUCAGGUCAUGAUUUGCAGUUCGUGGGUUCGAGCCCCGCAUCAGGCU
rnacentral:tRNA from 1 species